rnacentral:ncRNA from 1 species
CUUCCGCCCUCCCCGCACAGGAGGGCGGACCGGGGGACCCGCGCUCUCUGCCCUGACCGCGCGCGUCCCCCAGGGCCACCGGGCACCGCACACCCGGCGGCUCGCGGUCCCGCGCCUCUCAGGGGCGCGCGGGCACGCCUUCGGGCUGCGGUGCCGGAGGGGCCGAGGGUCCCCUCGCGGCGC